rnacentral:rRNA from 1 species
AUUGAACGCUAGCGGCAUGCUUUACACAUGCAAGUCGAACGAGUGGCGGACGGGUGAGUAAUAUACCGGAACGUGCCCCGCAGCGCGGGAUAAUUACUCGUAAGAGUGGCUAAUAACGCAUACUAUUGGAGCGGUCGAUAUCGGAUUAGCUAGUUGGGGGGGGAAAGGCUCACCAAGGCAACGAUCCGUAGCUGGUUUGAGAGGACGACCAGCCACACUGUGACUGCGCCGCGGCCCAGACUCCUACGCGAGGCAGCAGUGGGGAAGUUUGGACAAUGGGAGAAGCCCUGGUCCAGCCAUCCCGCGUGUAUGAGAAGGCCUUCGGGUUGUAGAGUACUUUUGGCAGAGAAGCGGUAUCUGCAGAAUAAGCACCGGCUAACUACGUGCCAGCAGCCGCGGUAAUUC